rnacentral:rRNA from 1 species
ACGAGAAGACUACCAGGAUUCCCCUAGUAACGGCGAGUGAAGCGGGAAAAGCUCAACUUGAAAAUCCGUGUAGCCCCGCUGCACUGAAUUGUAGUCUAUCGAAGCUGUUGUCAGUGACCCUCCCGGGAGAAGUCUCUUGGAACAGGGCAUCAUAGAGGGUGAGAAUCCCGUCUGUGCCCGGGAAGUGGCCACGUACGACACGCUUUCAACGAGUCGAGUUGCUUGGGACUGCAGCUCAAAAUGGGUGGUAAAUUCCAUCUAAGGCUAAAUACUGGCGAGAGACCGAUAGCGAACAAGUACCGUGAGGGAAAGAUGCAAAGAACUUUGAAAAGAGAGUUAAAAAGUACUUGAAAUUGCUGAAAGGGAAGCGAAUCAAACCAGUGUUGAUGCGCCGUCAUCUUUCAGUGAUGUCCUUGCUUGGGCUUGCGUGUUGGAGAGGCUUCAUAUCCCUCCGCUGCUUGUUGUUUUGUAAGGUCAUCGCUGCGCUGUGACGGCGCGUAGCUCAGCAUCAGUUCAUGUUCCGCGAGAUAUCGUCAUCAGGGAGGUAGAGUAUGGUCUUGUAUUGUACUUGUUAUAUCCUGUUGUCGGCGUCGUGGAUAGGACUGAGGUAUAUACAUCACAGUGUACGCCUCUUUUGGCUGGGUGCGGUGUUGCUCUGUUCCAGGUACUCGAUUGGACUGCUCGUCAGUGCUAUUUGGUACUCCUGUGGAUACUGUGAUCCGUUGCCCAUGUACACUCGGGAUGCUGAGGAAAUGGUUUGAUCCGGCCCGUCUUGAAACACGGACCAAGGAGUCUAACAUCUAUGCGAGUAUUCGGGUGGCAAACCCUUGUGCGCAAUGAAAGUGAAGGUUGAUGUAGGUCAACUGAGGUAGGACGGGUGGUCUAACUUGUUAGGCUGCCCCGCACUAUCGACCGGCCAUGAUCCUCUGGAAAAAGGUCUGAGUGUGAGCAUAUAUGUUGGGACCCGAAAGAUGGUGAACUAUGCCUGAAUAGGGUGAAGCCAGGGGAAACUCUGGUGGAGGCUCGUAGCGAUUCUGACGUGCAAAUCGAUCGUCAAAUUUGGGUAUAGGGGCGAAAGACAAUCGAACCUC